UUAAAAUCAUGACGAGAAAGAGUAAGAAAAGAAUCAUGUUCUUCAGAGAGUCGGCAUUUGGUGGAAGCCGAUGGACAGUCUUAUCCGAAAAUCAUCUCCGAGAUGCAAAGCUGAAGUUGGUAGGCUUUGCCGGAUUUCCACCGUUAACAUGGAACACGUAUGGUUGUACGUUGACUGAGAGCCGUAUGGUUUCUUUUAAGAAACUGACGGAAUUAUGGGUGGUAACGCGAGCGCAAACUCGUCCCUUAU
rnacentral:ncRNA from 1 species